rnacentral:rRNA from 1 species
CCCUUAGAUGUUCUGGGCCGCACGCGCGCUACACUGAUUCAUGCAACAAGUUUUGUCCUUGGCUGAUAGGCCUGGGUAAUCUUUGAACGUGAAUCGUGAUGGGGAUAGAUGAUUGCAAUUAUUCAUCUUCAACGAGGAAUUCCUAGUAAACGCAAGUCAUCAGCUUGCAUUGAUUACGUCCCUGCCCUUGUACACACCGCCCGUCGCACCUACCGAUUGAAUGGUCCGGUGAAAUCUUCGGAUCUGAGAGAUGUCUGAUUAAUUUCGGACGCCUUUUGGAAAAGUUGUUUAAACCUUACCAUUUAGAGGAAGGUGAAGUCGUAACA